UAUAUAUAUACUGGAAGAUUAUUUAACUGAACGGCACUGAGUGGUAAAGAUUCAGCCAUUAUUUGGUCAAAUAAAUGUUUAGUUUCUUUUGGCCAUAUCGGCAAAUGACUAACGUUAAACACCGCCCCUCUAAUCUCGUCAUUGCUGAUCACGUUCACCUGCGUUCGUUUACGCACACAACGGCGGGGAGCUGCCAGGUGGGCGCAGUGAAAAGUCAGGAGACUAGUUGGUAUAUUGGCAUACAUACAAUUAUGUAUAUAUUGUUUUUUGGAGGAACCAUCCAUUCUACGAGAAGAACGAUUUUACUCGGUGAGGAUUUGAGGUUACGCCAAAUACAACCAUGCUUACACUAUCCAAGUAAUUAAACGGUAAGCCUGCUGAAGGCUAACUAAGCUAAUGUUUGUUCGAUCAAUUCCCCAAAACCUAAUUAGAAAUGCACCAGGUGUUUUACAAAUGCAUUUUGAGUAAAUUAAUUGUUUGCUAUUUUGUCAAUUUAAUGUGUAUGCGUUCAGACUUUGAAACCGUCAAAGUCGGACAUCAGUCAUAAUGCCGUAGGCGGCCAUCGUCGGGCGGGAAAAACGUUCUAGAAUCUUCGGUAUGACGACGCGUUAUUUUAGUAAUGGAGGCCGUUUCCCAAGUCCCAACCCAUUUGUUGUAUUGCUGUUCUGUCCAUGAAUUCGCUAUACAUGUGUAAUGUGACGAACACAUUUACGUCACGUUAAAAUCAGUCGUACAACAAAUCCCUGUUAACGUUAAAUUAGGUUGUUUGACUAAGGUCACUCACAUCUUGCUAAAAUCAUAUGUAAUACCACUUCAAACAAGAUCAGUUCAUUCUACCCUCCAUUCUUCCUCCUUUCAGGUGUAAUUAGAUUGAUGGAUAAUCAUUACGUGAUGUGGAAAUGACUCCACUUCUUGGAAGCAAGGCCUACAACUGGUAGACUAACCAAGGAACUCUGAAGGCUAAUGUACUGCUGAGUUCAUGUUUAAUGUGUUGGCUUCCAAAUAAACCACUACUACAUCGUU